AGGCAACUAUACACAAUUAUAAAACUUCUCAACAUAAACUGUGCAAGUGCAUUCAUUCAUAAUAAACUCAGAGUUAACAACUCAUACAUCAUGCCAUAAUCAUUUCCCAACACCCUCGGGUGUACAUUCAUCCAUAACAUUCAUAAGUAUAUGCCAAGCAUUGGCUACAUCAUAUAAACAUGUUCAAUAUCUAUAAACAUAAACAUAUCCAUAAACAUAAAAACCAAUUCGUUAGCGGAACAUGACCUAACUCUCUAGACAUCAAAUGGACUGUUAGACACCUACCAUAAAAAGAUGAAUGGAUCACAUCUCCUAGACUUCAGAGUUGAAUGCUAUCACUUAUUUGCAAACAAAAAUAUUUGAGAAAAAUAACGUGUGAGUCAUAAAUACUCCAUGAGUGAAUACGAGAAUGGGACAAGCCAAGGCAAGGAUUUUUUGCACAAAUUACAUUACUAAUGUAAACAUGAAUUUUAGAUAAAUAUACUUCAUUUCAAAUAUCUCAUAAAAUAGAGUUGUUAUACACGAGUCUCAUUUUCAAAGUGGAAUUGACAUUUCAUAAACAUAUUGUUCGAUAGAUAAGCCUUGUAGGAAAAUAAGGAAGUUGUACUUUACUUGUGGUAUUGGAUCCUCCUUAAGGGAAACGAUACUUAACCAUAUAUUCCAAGCUAAAGGUGAUUUACUCCAAUCUUUUCAUAAAUCAUAUGAGCUGCUCAUGUACUAAAGAUUCACCAAGAGAAACCAAUCAUAACAUUUAGUGAUCAAUGUCGAACCCAUAUAACUAAAGUAAUCAUUUUUCAAUUCAUAUAACUCAGUGAUCAAAUCAAUCCAUGAAACUCAAGUGACCAUCCUUUCUUUAUAAUCUAUAAACUUAACUAAUGCCUUGGGAUUUAUUUUAUCUAUCAACCCAUCUUGGCUAUCGUAUAGCUUAGAGUUUAAUUUACAACUCAAUCAAACAUCAUAAACACAAGAAAGAUUCACAAGAGGCAUCAUAAUAACAAAAAUUAAUGUGCAAUAAUCAUGAAUUCAAGAUGCCUACUGGUUUGGGCAUCCUACGUCUAAGCUCAUGAGUGGUACAUUAGCCUCACUUAUGUGGAGCGUGUGACCAUGUAGUGGAAUUUUUGCCUCACCAUGCCUAGGGAUUGCUUAACUCAUAUCACUAUGCAUUGGCACUACUUGUGGAAUGUUACCUCACACUGUGUGGAAUCAUUAGAAAAUUAUCAAAGCAUUGCAGGUGGGAAUCAUAAGCAGGACUUUUAGACCAUCCCUAUUUACCACCAUCUCUACAAGCUCAACUCAAUGUCUUAAUCAUAAUAUAGAAUUUUGCAUAUUCAUACAUACAUCAUCAACAUAUCAAGCACAUCUUUUUCUAUAAACCAUAUUUAUGAACAAUCUUAUCUCUAAAGGUAUAUAGCACUACAUCACAUAUUAACCUAUAGAAUCAUGUCACACAUGUUCUAGUAUUCCUCAAAUGAAAACAUAUCAUAAGCUUAAGGGUGGGAAUGUCUACCUCCAACCAAGCAUUCAUUUCUUAUGCUUUUUUGUAGCAAUAAUGUAGGUAGUAAUUUUGUCAUGACCCGGUAAUUCCCUCUAGCCCGUGACAACGGCCGCGAUGUCUCGAUCGACACUUAUUACCCGGAAUGUCAACCGAAACCCCGCAAGGCUUUAAUAUCAG
rnacentral:lncRNA from 1 species